rnacentral:rRNA from 1 species
UACGUAGGGUGCGAGCGUUGUCCGGAAUUAUUGGGCGUAAAGAGCUUGUAGGCGGUUUGUCGCGUCUGCUGUGAAAUUUCGGGGCUCAACCCCGAACUUGCAGUGGGUACGGGCAGACUAGAGUGUGGUAGGGGAGACUGGAAUUCCUGGUGUAGCGGUGAAAUGCGCAGAUGUCAGGAGGAACACCGAUGGCGAAGGCAGGUCUCUGGGCCAUAACUGACGCUGAGAAGCGAAAGCAUGGGGGAGCGAACAGG